UUUUAAUUAAGUCUGCUUAUUUUCUUUAAGGCUGACAAUACAUCUGAGAAUUUGACAUUUAUUUAUGUGUGCAUUCCAGAUUUGCACACUGCAUAUCAAAACCUGAGACAAGCCCAGUGAGGGAUGGGGUGGGGUGCUGAGAUAGCGUAUCUGCCUUGCUCUGCUGCCCGCAAGUGAAAUUCUUUCCAUCUGAGUCCUAGCAAGGUGGUUCUGGGUGAAGCAGAGCCCUUGACAGAAGGCUGUCUCUUGCCCUGAGUCAGCCACAAAGUUCACUUUGUUUUCAUCCACCUCUGCCUCUCCUCUGGCAUCCCAGCUCCUCCAAGAUGGUGACUCCCAUCUCCAGUUCUCAGGGUGGGGAACCCGUCAUCUCUCCUGCUUGCUGUGCUCUCUUGUACUUGCUCUGUAGGAACAGGCCCCUGGGGCUAAACAGGACUUCCCUUUUUCCAAGUCAUUGUUUUCUCAGUUCAGGCCCACUCCAUGACCUAACACAGCACGUUUACUUCCCAAACAUAGGAGUGCGAUGCAGGGAGCAGAAGGGGAGGCAGUCCCUGCUCCCAGCGCAGGCAGCCCGAUGCUUGCAGCCCCAUGGGGGGCUCAUGAUACCCAGGCAGUGGGCAUUAUAUCAUGUUGUAUCUCAGGCAAAGUUUCUAGCCAGGGAGCUGCUGAUCCUUAAGCAGAAAGUCAUUCCUGAUGACUCUCUUCUCCCCAGGGCGGCGCUGACUCUGCAAGCUAAAACAGGAGCAGCAAGCAGUAAUUGCAUCCACUUGGUUACUGGAGUGAGAGGCUUGGAGUCUGAAUUCAGUGGUGAUCUGGGAAGCCCGAGUGUUCCAUGCACAGGCCGAUCCCACGACCCCUGAGGAUGUCGGCACCGAUGGGAACGCAUCGCAGCCCUCCCCAGCAGCAGUCCCCACAGGGGCGCUCCCUGUGCACCUCAGAGGAGCCAAUGCUGUAAAUCCCAUCCUGGUGGUCUGUUGUCACACCUUGCCCCUGGGAUGAGGGGAUGCUGGAGCCCUGAUCCUGACACAGCGGUAACUGCACUGCAGGACAUGCUGAGCCCCGGAAAUUUGGGCUGGAAGGGCUCUUUGGGACUCUGCUCAGAGGCACUUGCAAGAUAACAAACACUAAAAUAAAAUGAAGUGAAAUAUUGGAGAGCCUGCUUUUAUACCUCUUUUAAAACUGAACACAAAAGCCAAGUGAGAUCAUCGGGUUUAUUAGGCAGGAUAUUUCCAGUAAAGAUGGGGAAGCACUUCUGCCACCAUACAAGGAACUGCUCAGCCUCCAUCUGGAAAGUCACAGCCAAUUCCCAUCAGCUGUCUUUGGGAAGGAGGAAUCCAAAGCAGAACUCAGAAGAUGACUGGGACAGUGAGUGACACAGAAGUGACCAUGUGGGAUGUUCGGUGUGGCAGAGCUGAAGAGAGGGCACUGGUUUCUGUAGAUACAGCAGAAGGAAGAACAUUACAUAAAUGACAAUAAAUCUUUGGAUGACAGAGUGACUGUAAACUUCCACUCACGCUGGAAAUGAGGGUUCUGAGUCUUGGAGCAACCAGCUUCUGCAAGACGUUGCAUCAGGAGAGCAGGGCCGGGUUCCAUUGCAUAACCCACACACAAAUGAGCUGGCAUGUGAUGCUGUGAAAGAGGAGUCUGGCUGCAGUGAUCAUCUCCAGUCCCAUGUGCUCCUAGAAUACCGAUGAUUUCUUCCACUAGCCGUGGUAUUCCACAGGCUGCUGUCUAGCUGUGAUCUUCCAGAGAGCCAAAGUAAGCAUUAUUAUUUAGGUUUUAGCUCAGCUACAAUACAUCAUUUAGAAAAAGUCCUGCUGUGCUAAGCUGCAUUCAGUAGCAUGGCAACAUCCAGUGUAUAUAUUUGACUGCACUCUGCUUUGUCUUUUGUUAGCUCCGAUGUCAGCAGGUAAGUGAGCAGAGUGGCCCUGAGACCUGCCAGCAUGGGCACAGUGCUGGAAACUGUCUCAGUUUCACUUCUUUAGCAAACCUGGUGUUGCUGCGUUCCUCACCAGUGCCCAGCAUGCUGCUGUCAGUGCAUCACACCCAGAAUGCACAGACACUGCUUUGCUUUGCUCCUGACUUUCUGCAGUUUCCCUGUGGCAAGCUUCAGCUGCUUGAGCUCCUCUGCUCUGUGCCAUGGCUCCCUGCAGCCCCACACCUCCUUCCCUUUCCAAAAUGUAUUUUGAAGCUUCAGCUGUAGCGAUGUGGGUGCAUGUAACUGGGAGUGCUAACAUCAUGGUCACUACAGGGAGAAGCUGUGGCCCUAUGCCCUACAGUGGAGCUCUCCAAGACAUUGUGCCAGAGACUGCAGCUUACUCAGUGUGCUCCGGAAUGGGAUCUAGGAGCUGCAACAGCGUUUGCUUAAUGGCCAGCAGUGACAGGUUUAUAAAUCAACAUGGCACCUAUUACCUCCAAUGGAAAUGGUAAUCUGUUUUUUCUCCUAGCGGCUUCUGUUGCAAUAAUCAUGUGCUUGCAGCCUCCUCCAGGGUACAGUGCAAUGCAUCUCCCUUGCAGGAGUCACAUCCCUGCUGGGAGCCCCCCCAGCUCAGCAGGGCACUGAGCACCCCCCUGACUGCUGGGAGCCGCAGGUGCUCAGCACCUGAGCUCAGCCCUCUGGCAGGAUAUGUGCAGGUUCACUCUGCUUAUCACCAACAGCUGCAGGGCAGCCUGGAAAUGGAGUUGCAGGAAGGGAAGGGAUCCAUACGGCUGCUUUCUUUCUGCUUUUUUCCCCACUCUGAGGUAUGGAGGGCUGCUGAGCGUGGUGGAGCCCUGCAUUCAGAGCACCCUGUGCAGUCGGCAGCAAGUGGCCGGCACAGCAGCACCCUGGUGUCAGGUGUCUGUCUUAGCCUCUUCCCAGCAAGGUCUCCAUCUAAAUCAACAGAAGCUCUCUGGACUCCGAACCAUGGCAUAUGUGUAUUUUUAGAAGCCAAUCAAUCAGUGGUGACUGUUCAAGUUCAGGCAAGUCAAACACAGCCUGCAAAGUUACACAGAAGCACUGUGUGUUGUAGAAGGGUUGGUGAGCCUGCUUAUUAUUUGGCGUGCUGUGCCAAAUCCAUGAGCUGCUGAGGCUGGGUUCUUUUCAGAGAUAUCCAUAAGAAGUGCAAGUAUAAACAGACUGUGGAUUGUAAAACACGCUCUUUUUAAUUGAAGCAAUAAAGGACUGUUUGUGCUUCCAUAGAAGCCCUCUUUCAAGGUGCUGUGUGUUUUCCAAACUUUAACACAGCCCUGGGUUCAGGGUUUGUCAUGUGGGCCUUUCUGUAGGUGAGGAAACUGAGGCACAGAAGACUGCAGAUGCUGCCAAGGAGCUACAGAGACUGUGAAGUCCCAGCUUGUCUUCAGGGAAGUGCUGUGCUGGGCAAAGAAAACAAACACCUGUGCGCUGGCUUCCCUUCACAGUCUGAUCAGCGGAAACAGCAGCAGAGGGGUCAGGUCAGCCUCAGGGCUCUGGGCAGCAGCAGCAGGUUGGCUUUUCGGUGGCUUGGCUGCAAGGCAGGAACAUCUUGAGGCCUUUCUGGGUGUUUCUUCAAAGAGCGUUGCUGGGGUUUGGAAGCGCUGAUCAUGGAGCAGGUGUACAAAUGCAGCGUGUCGGAACAAAAAAUCACUGUAAUGAAUUGUAUCCCUUCAUGAAAAAUGCAGAGGCUCAGUAGUUGUGGGGAAGCAGGCGCAGCCUGGAGUCGAGCUGGACCUCUAACAUCAGACACCAACCAGUCAGAGAGCAGCUUAGAAAAUGCCGGUGUUCUGAUUUCCAGAGCCUCAGUUUAUCCAACUUGAAAAUGGAACUGAUGCUUUCCUAUGUCACUGACCACUCAGUCAAGAAACGUGGCUUUGGCCUCUUCUGCUUCUCUGCUUCUUCAUGCCCUGCCUGAUUGCUACAAGACAUCUGCUCCAGAGCUUCUCGUUGGAGUCUGCACAGCUGCACAAAAUGUAGUGCAUGAUCUGAUUCUCAAAUUGGGCUUAACUCAUAUGUGCAGUGCCAGCUGGAGGGGCCUGCCGAGUUUUUGCUGAUGCAUCAGAAAUAUAUUUUUAGGAAGGUUUCUCUAUAAUUAUCACAUUAUAGCUCCUUCUGGAUCACUCAGAGUAUAGUAAACAAUUGCUAUACUUGUUAGAGGUCAUGAAUACAGAAAAACAUUCCUCUGUGUGAGGUCUGCUGUUAAAUAAUAACUUGUCGUUUCAUGGCGUGGGGGGAGUGAAUGCCCUCGAAGGGACGUGCUGACAUUGUUCAAGCCAGUGAUCCAGUUCCUGUAAUUUACACCACUUUCUUAAAGCUGCUUCUCUGCACAAGAACAAUGGAUGUGCUGAGGGACAGCUGUUGCCCCGCUGCAGCUCCCAGCGCCUCGUGUGUUGAUCCUCUCUCCGGUUUCCCUGCUACGCUGCUGCAGCAACACGUGGAUGGCUCACUGCUGGAGGCCUUGGAGGUGAUGGGCAGCUGGGUGAGGAAGGUGGUUAGCGGACAGCUGUGCAGGGUGCAGCCCCAAGCAGAUGGGGAAGGGGAGUGGCAUUAGAAAGCGAUCACGCAAAGAGAUUAUUAAUGAGUAAUUUCAUGAUCAGCGAGUUGAAUGAACAGCGCUCACCUCUGUGGCAUCUCUGCUGUCUGGUGUAGAGGGAGCAUCCGCUGCUGUCUUUUCCUCAGGGGAUGCUAAUGGUGUCCAUGUCCUCCAUCUGUCAUCAGCAGCGUCUGUCUGGGACCUUCAGGGCUCUGAGAAAUCCUCCUCUCUGUCUCCUUGAAAUAGCCUGACACGAUCAAGAACUACUUGCACGCAUUCGGCUCACACAGUGCUCCAUGUACAGCUUUAUUCCCUUGGGAAAUCCAGGCUUUACAAUAAUCACCUUGCUGUUCAACCAGGUGUAACAUGCAGUUGUGAUUUUCAUAGUAUAGUAGAAAAGCGAGGAUCUGGCUGUGGCUGCAAUCAGUUAACAAAACAGAUAAGUUAGGGAUCCCAGAGCCCCUGGAGACCUAUCUCAAGGCCAAAGAAGAAACUGAGAAGUCUGAUGGAGCUGCAGAAGUGGGGUAGAGCAGUUAUCUCUGGCCAAACAGGUGACGGAUGUGUCCGUUAUGACUUCUCAGUCCCUCCCUGUGGCAUGGGAAUCUGCCCUUUAAUAUGUGGUCAAAAGAAAAUUAGGUCUUGGCAAAAACAUAGCAAAUUUAAGAGCUCAGUCUGGAAGGAGCUCAGCAGGGAGGCGUAGGAGCUGACUGCAGCAUUUCAAAGUCUUUCUAGAAGCUGUGGUUUGGAGAGGAAAAGGAGAUGAAAUCUUCCGUGUUGCAGCAUGCAAGAACUCACCAGCUCUACCUCUCCAAACGUCGCUGUGACAUGGCUCCACCAUAUUCAUACUCAUGACUGAGGGGAUGGCAGACUCCAUACUCAGCCCCUUGCUUUUCUUGGUUUGUGUUGCAUGCUCCAUGUUGUUUUAAUGUAGUUCCUAGUAUUUAAUGCAUUUUGAUUGCUUUCUCUAAUAACAUCGACUGAGUGCUAGGAGCCAAUCUAAACAAGCUGUGCCAAUAAGCCAAACAUUUCACUUCAACCAGCAAAGCGGAUGCCUCUUACCCCUACUCACGCCUGGCUGUGCAAACCAAGGACCUCGCUGCUCAUCAGGGAGAGCAAAGCAAAAGCCUGGUGUGUUGUGGGCAGAGCUGGGCUGUGUCCCUGUGUCCUUGUGUCCCUGCCACGCGUGUGCCAUCGAGGUGCAGGUCAGGCAAUGUGCAAAGCUGGCUCUUCUCGAGGGAUGAAUGCGGCAUCUUGUCUCAUGCACUUUGACAAGCUGGGUCUUGGUUUUGUGAGACCGUGAGCACCUCUAAAUCCCUUUGACAUCAGUGGAAGCCGGACUUCACGUUCUGCAUCACUGGAAGCCUUUCCAAGCAAUUAAAAAACAACCCCAGACCUCCUCCCCUGGUGCUGAUCUGUGGUGUGGUGUUGACGUAAGUGUACUGGAGUUUUACUUACAGCAGCUGGGUAGUUGGCACUUUUAUAGGACUUUUUAAAAAAUUCUUUCUGUCUUUUGCACAAUAUUCCUGAUUUUUUUUUUUACUCUGUUUGUUUUUCUCCCACAAGCCCAGCCUUCAUGUCUGUCGUCUCAGCACUGCUUCCUGUUGUUCUCUGUGAUCUCCCUUGUUCCAUCUUCUCUUCUCUGGUUUCCUCCCUUUCAUUUUAGCCUUAUUUUCCUCAGGCUGCCUGAGCCCAUCCUCCCAGAGGGGAAAUGUAUCUGUCUCAUUCCCGUCUCUGUUUCCCUCCCAGCCCCACAGCUGUUCCCUCUCCAGCAGACCCCACUCCUGCUCAGAGCACCAUCUAUGUCCAACCCCUUUCCUCCAUCACUGCAGGUCAACAACAGAGAAAACAGAAAAUGCACCAGGAGAGGGGGGAUUACAGCCCAGAAGGAUCGUUCCUGCGAGAUGCCAAGUGCUGUCUCACCAGUGCUCACCUGGACUGCUUGCAUCUGGCUGGAUGGUGGAACCCCCAUCCCCAGCACUGACCAUUUGUGAUUUUUCAUGCCACGCAAUCCAUCACUGCUCCUGGGAGAUUUUUGCCUUUCAUGCUGCCCAAGCCUGAAAGCCGUAAACUCUGCAGUGAGGAUGUGGUGAGGUGUGAAUGUACACUUCAUUUCCAAGCGGUUCUAUUCCCCUCAUGUGCUGCACUUGACCAGCAAAGCAGUGGGCACCAUUCUCUGUGCUUUGGCCCAUGUAAUUACGUGUUUUCUAGCUGUGCUCGGUCAAAAGUAAUCAUGGAGUUACAACCUCAGCUGGGACAGAAACCAGUCAAUUUAACAAGCUGAGUUGUGUGCGAUUACAGAAGAUACAUCCUGCCACGGAUUUGUUCUGCCACCCUUUUGCUCUCCUAAGUAGAACACACUGUGGGGACGGAUGGAGCCGGAGAGUGGUUGGAGGUGGCACAGUCUGCCCAUCCUGCUGGGGUGAGAUACCUGUACAGCUUAUGGGUGUGAAGGGACUUUUCCCUCCAGAGAAGUGGGAUGCAUUUAGUUGCAGUCUGCAUAUCUGCCUCAGGCACCUCGUGAGCCCUGCCUUGGGUGUGUUUUUACAGAAUUGGGGAAUUAUCAGAUCUGGAAGGAGAAUGUGCAUGGGCUGAUCUGCAAGCACUGCUGUCCACUUGUACCCAGCUGCAGUCGCAUCCCUCGCUCUGUCCCUUCGCCUCUCCUGUAUUCCCCGACUCAGGCUUUGCCUUGUUCAGCAACAAAGAAAAUGCCUUCAGAAACAUCGUUGCCCUGAUGCAGCAGGAGGCUGUGACAGAUACAGUCACUGCUGCGGAAUGAGCACACAGCAAUGCUGCGCUGUCUGUGCCAUUAUUGUUCUCUGCUGCAAACUGGAAGCGACUGAGAGCAGGGCAAGGCAGCGGCCCUUCUGUAACAGCCCCCCUGGGAUGUGUACACAUCUCCAGUGGUGCAGGAUGUGCACAAUGGGCAUGGCUGGCAGCUUCUGCUGUGAGGAUGAUGACAGAAUCCCUCCUCUGGAUUUCACCUCCGUAUCUCAUACCCUCUCAGAGAUUGCUCAGCAGUGAUUGACAUUCAAACUGCCUGCUCUUAAAAAACCAAGUAAGGGAAUGAGAAGGGAAUAUGUAAACUUCCAGGGUAAACUGUGUUGAAAAAUUAAAGGGUGAUACGGUGGUCGGCUCCAGGCUGGUCCUGACUCUCAUGGGAAUAGUUAUGACCUCUCCAAAGGUUCUUCUCAUCAGGUUUUGUUAUGGGGAAGUCACUGUGCAUCCCCUCUGUGAGCAGUGAGAGCUGUGGGACUGCCCGCUCAGUGCUGCACUGACAGCUCUGCAACUGCCAGCAGCAAUAGGUAUGUAUGGAGUGAGGGGAAAAAAUCCAAAGCACAGCAUGAGUUUGCAUUACCUCUUGGUUAUGUGGGUUACUGAAUUCAAGAGCAAGUUUUAGUUACACAGCACAAACAGCCCACUUGUGAAUAUGUCACAGUGAUGCUCUGGCACGCUCAGCAGCCCAUAAAAAUGCCCACUCUGCUUAUACUGUUGAAUUGUUUCAGCCUUUGAUAAACCUUCUGUUUCAGCCUGUUGUAGAUUUUAAAGCAUUUCUUGCUAAUGGGUUUUCACAAUGUGGUUUAAGGGCUGUUGUUAUUAAUAAAUGUAACUGCACUGAAUAGUAAUUUGAUAAAGAUGAAAGAGGCAUUGAUGAAUUCCACUUCCCUUUCAGCUGCUGCUAGGAAUUUUUUCCUCCUUCAGAAUAUGUUGCAUUUAAUCUUGAUUUCCUUUUUGUUAAAACUGCUACUUUCUCACGUUAUAAAGAGAAUAUCAGUGGAGUCGGACCAGUUGUGCCAUCUUCUGUGUGGUAAAGAUCCAGUUCUGCUCAGUGAAUGGCAGAAAUUUCCUUGCUGAACAGCAGGGCUGGCUGGGUGUCCCAUCAGAAAUGCCUACAAAUAGCGUGUAAGUUUAAAGUUGUUUUCUUAAAAUAUGAUUAAUGGGUCUUAACGUUGAUGGAAGCAUUAAAAGAAAAUAAUUUAUCCACACUUUUUGCUAAUGGACUGAUCUCCAUUACGUUAUCGUUACAAUGGCCUCGUUGUGUAUAAAUUAAUUAGGGACUUAGUUUCAGUACCAAGCAGUGUGCGAUUGGCUCCAGUUGAACAGGAAACAUGGGGUGUCUGAAGGCUGCUAUCUACCACAACAAGGGCUCUGCUCACACUCGUGGCACACAAUAAUGGGAAGUACUGUGAGUUAUGUUGGGCCUGCAUCAUAAAAGGAUUGCAGGGACAAUGGUGAGGAGAAAUGUUAGCAGAAAGAAAACGGAAAGCUUUCUUUCCUAAGAGGUGAGCUUUGCUUUAUUAGAAUCCGAUCCACGCAGAGAUGGAUGUCUUCAGAGAGGAGGCAGGUAUUAAUCAUGGGAAAUAAUCUGUUUUCACAACUCGCAGAGCACGAGUUCUCUUGACAAAAAAAGAUCUUCUAUUUUUGGGUUGUGCUUUUAAUUGAAGAUGCAUGAGGUCCACAUGCAGAAAGGACCAAAAGGCAGUGUGAAGCUGGAAAGUGCUAAGAGACGGGGCCGUGCUCCUGCCCCCCCAGGUUGCCUGCUGUGUGACACUGCACAGCCGCUUCUCUUCUCUGUGCCUCUUUGCUUCCUCCCACUUUCUGUGCAUCGUCUUUGUUAGCUCUUUUCAAGGGCUGAAGCUUUCUUGUACCUUGAGUUAGCACUGCAUUUAGCUUCUCCGGAUGCUAUGGUAAUACCAUCAGAACUAACAGUCUGCCACCCAGCUCAUUCUCUCAACUCAUUCUUUUGCGAAGCUGCACAUCCUCGUGAAUAAGCAGCUCAGGGAUUUAUACAGAAAGCAGCAAUGUGGAUCUGCCUCAGACCUUAAGUAUAACUCAGGAGUAAAUUCAAUGAAAUUCAGCAGGAAUACAAUAGGUAUUUGUUACAGGGGAACCGAGACAUUCAAUACAAAAUACCAGAAUGCUACUUGCAGUAAAGUUUAUAAUACAAGACAAGAAAAUGGUGUGAUGUCUUGCUCCUUGCACAUUGCACUCAACUUCUCCCUUGGGGUGACUGUGCUACGUUAUAAUCAGUCAGUUUUCCUGGACUAAUUUCCUUGCAUAGUAGGUUAUAAAUAAUUAUUAUUGGUAUUGCAUGGAGUCUGUAAGUUCCUGAACAACCGUGACCGAAUUCUUAAUUUGCCAAUUACUGAUACAAUGCAUGUGUUUUUGUGAUUACUUUAAUUAUGUAUGAAACGUAUGUAAUUGAAAGAAUACAAAGUCAUCUUUUUUCUUUCUUUCUUUCUAGAUUCACAGACUGAUUGGAGGACAGCCCACCUCUGACCAUCUCUGUGUUUAUAAAUCCUGUUUGGACUAACGUGAUAUUCAGGGGUAAGCACUUGUUUAUACAGUUUAGCAGUGUUAGCCCCUAUGUAGUCUCUGAAGACAAUUCCAGUAGGUUGUCAGCAUCCCAUGGGCCACAUUGUGUGCUGUAGGAAGAUUCUCAGCAAUGAAAAUGCAGUUUUAUCCUUCUCAAAGUGCCCCUUACCAAAGUCAGCCAAGCAUCCAGAAGCACGUACUCUGAGUGAUGGAUGCAGCAUUAAUAUUCUACUGACUUGCUAAGCAUACAAGAUAGGCCAAGUCUUUCCAGAGGUUUCAAUUUCCAUCAUGUCCCCCAUUUCUUUUGGCUGAACCAUGCCAUAGUGUACAUCCAGGGCUUGACAGCUCUAAUUUCAUAGAAGCCAAUGGACUUGAAAGAUAAUCUAUUGAUGUGUGAGAGAGAGGAAUCAGGCCUGUGGCCAGAGUCCCAUUGACUUCAGUGAAAGCAGACAGUGAUGCAGUUGCUGUCACAUAGGUCUUGAGAGCAGACUGCUUUAAUAACUUUGUCCUCAGGUGCCCAACUCAGUCAUGGUGCUAAACAAAUGGAGCACACCUACCCGACCCGGGCUGCUGGAUGCUGCUGGGUGGUCCAAGACAUAGAUAUUGCCAGUGAGCACAAUUGCUCUUGCAGAGCCAGUACAAAGAGCUCAUGAUGCAGUCCAGCUUUCCUUCUCUCCUUCUUUCAACAGGAACGCAGGUCUUGACCACACACACUGUCAACACAGGACCUUGGACUUGAACUUUGUGCCUCGGACUUCAGCUUUGUGAGCCCUCAGACAGCCCUUCUGCAGCUGCAUCAGGCCACACACAGUCACAGCUCUCAGCUGGGAGACGACAGGCACAAAGCUGGCACUGGCUCUGUGAUUACUUCUCUGCAAAGUCAAACAGGUGAGCAUACGCUGCUGGUGGCCUAAGUGCUUUUGUUUGCCUUAACACUGGCCUUGAGCAGCAGUUAAGUGCAGCUGGCACUGGCCUCAGGAGGCAUCAAUCACCUGCUGCUCCUCAUAAGCUUUUCUAUACUGCAUAAGAAGCCAUGUUCUUGCUCUAGUAGUCCCAGAGAGCUGUGGAGACAGCACAGAAGCAGCAUGAAACUGUCUUUCUGAUUUUAUAUCAUUGGUAAGCUGUGUUGCAAAGGCUGGCAUUGCUCAAGAGUUACACACACCACAAACUCGGUAUGACGUUGCGGAACAUUGGUGUCCUGCUCUCCUGGGCUCCUUUUAUAAUACCAACUAGAGAGAUUUUCCAGGACAAAUGGAAAUUUGGUCCUUGAAUUUGUGAUUAUGUAUACAAACAGGCCUCAGGCAUGCGGAAUUUGGCCUAUUUGACCAAUGCUCUGAGGAUGCUCUGCUGCUUUUUCUCUAGAAAGCAAAGGCAGUUUUGUGCCCAACAGAAGACAGUUCUUCUUGAGUUUUUUUGUUGGUCUCCUCUGCUCCCUUCCUCUGCAAAGGGGUGUGAAGGGGUGGUGCAGCAUGUGGGUUUUAACUGGACACCAUCCCUUUAAUGUGGAGUUGUGUUUUUUUUUUUUUUUUUUUUUUGCAGGGCCAAAAAUAAAUGCUAGUGAAGGAAUAAACAGACGUGAAAAGAAGGCUUGGACACUUGGAGGACAAGACUGCUUUGUGUUUCCCAAAGCAAUAAGCCUCUUCACAAGGAGGUUACUCUUUCAGAAAAACACGGGUCCUGUGACACUGCCAAGGUCAGUAGGUGCCCAGCAGAGCAGGGAGCAUUCAAGGCAGACGUGGUUUGGGAAAGGGGCAUAUUUGCUCCCAUUGAAAGAGGAGAGAGGAGAGAAAUUUACAUUGCUCUGCCAUUUCAGCUCUUUCUACAGGGUUUGAACACGCACCAGUUUGGCAGCAGAAGGCAGCUUCCACCUAUCUCAGAUGGCAACGUAGCCCCAGCACUGUGGCUGUAUCACUCGCAUGCUGGCUUGGGAAGAGGGCAGUGCUGCUGCAGUUCUGCAGCUGAGGAGGCAGGUAAAGAGAGGACAUGCAUCACAUGCAGAGUCCCGGCAGUAAGGCCUGGAUUUCUCAAGGUGCUUUGCAUUUUUCAGAAGUCCCUUGUGGACGUGGCUCUCUUCUUGUGCUGGUGCUGUACGAGCACUCUAAGCUAGGCCUCUGCUACCUGUCGGCGUGUCUCGGACCGGUCAGCUGCAGUCUGGAUGGGCUUUGCUUUCUGCAGGAAAUAGGCAGAAUUCAAAGCAAAUAGCUUGGUACAGACACCUUGCUUUCUGGUAAGCAUAAUUGGUUAGCAAAGUGCUGCAGUGAUCUCAGUGGGGGUAGGAAGCUUUGGACUUCACUUUAGGGACUUAACUCAUUCUCCAUCCAGUGCAGUAUCUUUUGAAAUGUGACUUUUUAGGCUCUUUAUUGUCUCAGUUGGCUACAGAAUGAAAAUGCUGGGUAAUAUUGAGCAAUGAUAAGAUGAUACAGAGUCUGUCUCCUGCACAAAGGGAAGUGCAGUUCUUUCGCUGUCUCUAAAGCACCAAGUUGUGAGUCAUCCAAAGCAUCUGAGGACUCUGGGUAAGAAACAUGAGCUUUUAAAGGCACCUCAUUAGGACUGAAUCUUCAGCACCGUCUGUAGUGACACACCAAAACAUACUCAUCUCAAAGAGGGCAAAUGUUGAGAAGUUAAGGGAGCUAAUUAGUGGAAUCAGCUGCACUGCAGAUCUGAGGAAUUGAAUGUGAUGGAACUUGGAUUCCAAAACCAGCUGAAACAUGCAGGAAGAUGAACCCUGACAGGAAAUGCUCCAACCCCAGUGGGAUAAAUAACCAGCCCCAAACACGUGGAGAGCAUUAACUGACAUGCAGAAGUUCUGAUUGGCAUGAGGGUAUUCUGCUGGCAUGCAGCUAAGGAUUGAAAUCAGAUGUCUGGAGAGGAACUGCUACAGAAUACGAUGCUCUGCUCUGCUCUGCUCUUUGAUGGAGGCCAUCACUCUUAUCACAGGGCUGACAAAGCAGCUUACCCUGCAGGUCCUGAACAGCCACCACUCCAGUGACGUGUUCAGUGCAGCAGUUCUGGACCUGCCUUAUGAGUUACUGCCACUGCCACAAGGAUGGCAUUGGAGAAGAGUGGUGGAGCAGAAGACUGAAGGCAGUAUUUGCCUCAGUCAUCCAAUUUGAAGCUGCUGGGAUGGGAAAGGCAGAGACAGGAUGAAAAAUGUCAAAAGUGAACUUGUGAAUUGGACUUGAAAAGGAAAUUAGAACAGAUGGCAGAGGGUUUCAGCUAGAGAAAUAAAAAGAGGAGAAACGUGGUCAUUAUGGAGUGAGAAUGGGGUUGAGAUUAAGACCCAUCCACAUAUGGUCUAAAAAUGAAUUAAAAACACUUUGUCCACAUUUUCAGUAGAGAUGAUCGUAUUGAGCAGUGGGACAAAGACAAGAUUUCUAGUGGGAAUAUACAUAAGGGAAUGAAAAUUAUCACAUGUAAGGUGGAAGGAAAAGCAUGAAGAAUUCGGUGUGCUCAGGUGAAGGUGCACUGGCAGAUUUCCAUCCCAGGAUUUGGCACAUUAAAUGAGUUCAGCUUAACCUGAUAUUUCUCUUUGAUGACUGAUUAUUUUUUUAGGCAAAUGAAAUACAGGUGAUUUACUCUAUCCAGAAUCUGAUAUUAUACCACAGGGGAAAUUACUCGUUGAAGUUGAGAUGAUGGGGAUUAGUGUGGAUGGUGAAUGCAAACCUGUUAAAGUGCAGAGGAAAGGGGAGCUCUGAGCAGAGAAGAAAUGCCAGACAGAGGCAGUCAGUAAGUGGAACUCCUCAGGAGUCAGUGUUGAGCUCACUCUUGCUUCUUUCAUUAACGAGUCUGGCACAGCAGUAGGAAUGUAGUAAAGAAAUCUGCUGAGGACACGGGCUUUGUUAAUACAGAGGAUGAUCGGAACAUCAAUCAGCAAUGAGUGAAUGACAGAAUUCAUCUGAAAUAGAAUAGAGAAAGUAUUAAGACAUGCAUUUAGAAAUUAAUAACUAGAAUAUCAUAUUACUUACUUGAAGAUGACAAAGGCAGGGGGGUGGAAAAAAAACCACAGAGAAUAAUUCGCUCCCAGGGAUGACUGUGAGCCACCAAUCUGAUAUGGAGAAGCAAACACAAUCCUAGAAGGUACAGGUUCACUCAUGUUCGAGGAAGAUUAGCAGGUACAGAGAAGGGCAUUGAGGAUGAUCAGAGGGUUUGGAACAAGAGGAGACUAGAAGAGUUUCAUUUGUUUAGUUUUUCAAAACAAAGGCUAGAGGAGAUAGGAUUGUUUUCAGUAAAUAUAUCUGAUAGGUAAAGAUCAGAGAAAAAAGAGAAUUGUUUAAACUACAUUAUGAUGCUGGCACAAGAACAAAUGAUAUUAAGGCUGAAAAUUUUAAAUGAAGUGCUGGGACAACCUGCCAAAAAGCACGAUAUGAUGUAAUUGAAUGUAACAGUAGGAGGCUGGAUCAGUAAUCCAGAGCCCUGUGUUCCUAGAUAACUUCUUUUUUGGGAAGGGAAUUAGCCACAGCAGCUAAAUGCAGGGAAUGGAAAGAACAGCCCGGACCAACACCACAAAGGUGUUCCCAGUGAUGGAGCAGUGCGGUGUGUGGUGCCUAUAUGGAGUGGUUUCUUUCUUAGUAAGAAGACCAGGCCGCAGUGUGUGCUGCUGUACAGCUAAGUGCCAGCUGUACCAGAAAAGCAGUGUCACUAAAACAUUUCGCUGUGGGUUUGAGCUCUUGCUUUUUACCCACAGUGUGACCGUCUUUCACCUCCCAAACCUAAAUAUACAUGGCUGAAAGCACACCUUCAGGAAUGGCUGUCCCAGCACUGCCAGUGGCUCGCAGGCUGUGCAGAGGCUGGAAGCAGGCAGUGUGCUCGGCUCCCCGCUCUGUCCCCUGGAGCUUUCCUUUUCUGAUGCCCUGUUAGGCAGAAUGCCCACUCACGGGGAAUACUGCUGUACCUCUUUGAAGAGAAGCAGUAAAAAGGCUUUUGGCAAAGCGGCCUCUAACCAGCACCUCUUAAAUGAAGCUGGCUGACAUACACGCGUGCUGCAGUGAUGCCCCUGCAGUGGGAAGAGCCCCCUGACCUCAGGGCACGGGACCUGCUGGUCCUGCAGCCCCUCUGGAGCAGGGGCUGAGCAGCAGCUGGUGCCGGGGGCUGGGGCUGCUCUGCUCUCCCACAGGUCUGCACCAGGUGCCCCACGCUGCUCAUCCGAGGGCAAGAAAAUGCAGCUGGCCAGAGUCCUUGGGUUUGGAAGCAGCCCCACCAGCUAACAGGAGGGCCUUCCCUUUUCCUCCCCCCAAGAGAACUGGCAAAUUCAGCUCUUCAAUGGCACGAGCUCAUCUCAGCCUUGCCUAUAAAUAGAUAAAUGAGAUUCCUCCAGUCCCAGUGAGCAAUUCUGACAUCCUCCCUUUGCCUCGCAGAGAGCUGAGUCACAGGCACUCUGCACUCCAGUCCCUGCAUUACUUACAUGGUCUCAAAGGAAAUUUUAACACAUCCAAUGAAUCAUCAGGGAUUGGAUCAUGUUUAAAGUUAUUCCAGUGGCAUUUCCCUUCUAUUGUAGCAAGUCUGCCAACACCUAAAACUUUAGCUAAUCUGGACUCAAAAUGCAUUGAGGAAAUAGCAUGUUGACAUACACAGCUACUAAUACAAAUAACUUAAAAAGUUCUCUUAAAUCUGCAUCAACAAAUAAAUGACCCUUAGUGGGUUCCUUUAGCACUUCGGUCCUGCUAAUUUUGUCAGACUGCUUUGUUUUGUAGCUGCUUAUUUAAAAGAACUCAAAAGUUGGAAAUGUUUUAAUAUUCAGUCUUUAGGUCCCUAAUUUAAUCUCCUGCAGGUUUCCUGCCAAAGUAUUAUUUGCACUGAGAUGGAGCUUGCAGCCCUGUGCUCGGCCUUUCACAGAAAUGCACAUGUUCCUGUUCUUACCCACGAUAAAAAUAAAAUGCCUGCAAAGCAAGGACAAAACCAGAGUGGUGUUAAGUAUAAAACACACAGAGUUAUCUGCCGGCUGCACGAGGCUCUGAGCUCCAGCAUGAAGCUGUAUCUCCUGAUGGGGCACUGGCACUUGUUACCCUUCCUUCUCCCACCCGGGACAGUGUAGUCUGAUUGGCUUAAAGCAACACAGCAUCUGCAAUCAGAGGAGGUCUCCUUCUGCCUCAGAAACAACUGAAGAGUGCAAAACUCUCCAGCAGAAUUUGGGAGCUGUGAAACAAAUAGAAACACAUUUCUCUCUGUUGGUUUUCUGGCUUGCCUUGCUGUAUCUUAGAACUUGUUGGGACUUUCCACUCAUCCAGAAUCCGGUUACCAGACUCUCCAUUUGAAUGAACAAGAAAUGCUAACAUUGGCUGGCUUGCUGCUGUGCUUUAGUACUCUGAGACCUGAAACCUGGCUGGUUCUUUUGAUAACCCUAGGAAUGCUGUGUCUUAUUCAAAUCACAUCUUUCUAACACCUUUUCAUAAAGCAACUCUCUGCCUGUGUGUAGACUGUUAACAAGCAUUUGUGCAACACAUUCCAGCAUGAGCUGCAGUCUCUCCAUGAGAUGAUGUGGCUCCUACACUGAGGCUCACUGGUUUAUUUAUCAGCUUAGCACAGCACAGCUUUGCUUGACAGUGUUCUGCCAGCUGUUACUAUACAAUAGCACUGGGAAAGAAGAUCAGUUUUGGCUCUCAGUGGAAUUGGCCAUAAUUCAGCUACCUGUUGACAAAUUAUGAUUUAUUUAACAGCAUAAACUGUAAUAUUUGUAUAGCUGAUAGUUUUCACCCUUCCCUGCAGCUGGAAAAAAAAAAAAAAAAAAAAAGAAGAGGAACUCCCAGAAGUUCCUCACUUGAAACUGAAGUUUGAUUGUAGUAACGCCUUGUACUGCUGUUUCUGUGCAGGAAAAAUGACAUCUCUAAUGGACAAAUCAGUGGUGUCUGUGUGAUGCUGGAAGAGGGCAGGUGCGUUGAUAGGGAUCACACAGCUUCUUGCUUGGCCUCCUUCCUGCAGCAGUAAUCUUUGCCAUGUAGUGAAGGGAUGGAGGAUGGCUGGUGGGGCCUCCCGAGUGGGGCUGUGCUCUGAGCUGCCAUGGGGACAAGGUGCAGUCCAGGCCUCCAAGUUCCCCGUAAUGCAGCAUGCAGGAUGUGACCUCAGGAGUGCUGGGGGUCCUGCUAAGGAGAGCCGCCUUCACAGAAGGCAAACGAGGUAAGUCAAAAAAAAAGGGGCUUUAGAAUAAUUGUGUAGAUGGCCUUGUUCCACCUGCAGCAGUGAGCUUAGUGUAACUUCUCAGCCCGCACUCCUGCCUGUGCUGGGAGUGGGACAGUGGUGUGGCUGCACCAGGUUGGUAAGGGCUACUUCCAUGUACUGCAUGCUUCCGAAAUAGGGGCCAGUAAUUCAAGCCAAAUGACACAGCAGAUCCACAACAUAAAAAACAACAAUUAACCUACCAAUUUUUGCUCAUGCCUUUAAAAUACGCUCCGCCAAACUGUACUUCAUGACUAUCUCUCAGGAGGGCCAGAUUCUGUAGGACAUGUCCUCAGCUUGCAGAAAGAGAUCAUUAAUCAUUAGUGUGCCCUGGUCCCUGGCUAUUUUAAUCACUGGUGAAAUACUCAUGCAGUUCCCACUCCUAAAAAUGGUAUUUGACUCCAAUGCACAUGAUUUCCUUUGGCUUCCUUUCCCCAUUUAAGAGCAAGCCAUAACAGCCUGGAAGUACAAGCACUGGAAUCCGUAGAUUUGCUUCUCAUUCGCCACAGAGCCAAAGCUUGGUACUGCAGGUAGCAUCUGUGCUGACCAAAAGAUCAGAAUAUAUUGUGACUGGCUGUCUGUGACAGCCCUUCUGCCUACAGACUGAUGGUCAAACCCUGUCCUUUGUCUGUGUGCUUGAGACUCGUGACAUCUAUUCAUUUUGCUGAGGUUUUAUUUUGUUUUCUUUGUCUUUAUAGAGAACCAAAUCUCAACCAGUACCAACUGGGCCCCAGAACAGAGUCCUGCUCUUGGGAAGGCUGUCCUGGUUGUCCCACCAAUUCUCUUAAUUAAACUUGAUUGACUCUGGCCUAAUUAAAAAGACACAGACCAGCAGUAAUCUGCUAAAACUAAAGGUUGCUUGGCAGCUUGGAUUUCUAGUUUUGCUGAAAGUAGUUUAAAACAUGAAGAAAGUUUGCCUUAAUUACCAUAUUUCCUCCAUGAAACAGCUAUUCAUCGAAAACUACAGCCAAGUACCAAAGGGCUCCAGUGAAAGAAGGCACCAAAUUUGCCUGCAAAAUGUUAUUUCCUGCACUGGUCUAAUUCAGAUCAUGUGGCUGACAUGCAAUUUCUAUUUGACUGAAAGCACCACAUUAAAUUAUUCCAGGCAGAUGUUGUGCACUGAAAGCAGUCGAUAACAUCACAGGGCAAUUCAGAAAGGCCCUGUGCAGCCAGAGACUCCUUGCAGCCUGGAACAUGGGUGCUUGAAAGAUGCUGGUGCAAUUGCUUUGAUGUGCAAAGAAAUAUGAACAGUGGCUCAAGCUUAGUACAUCUUCUGCUAUCCAUGCAGAAUUAUCUGCAUGCCAGAAGGGGAUGCUUUGUUUUGGCAAGGUCUAUUGAAAUGUUCAUACUACUUACUUAGCAUAUGCCAGGGAUGGCAACUUCAAGAAGUCCAGGGCAGCACUUAAGCAGAGUAGAAGUGGAUGGCAUCACUUGAGACUGACUGAAAAAAUCAUGAUUGCCUGUGUAUACUUUUCAAAACACAUUUAUUAUAGGAAUUUCUGCAUUUUUCCAAGCCAGACUGGAGGUGCUAAAUGACAGUGAAGUUUCAAAAGGAACAGCCAAAUUUGUCCUUGAAAUCGUAAUGCUUUGGCCUGGGCACACAGAAUUGGACUCACAGGUCUGCCCAGAAUGCCCUGCAGUGAAAUGGAGCAGGAAUCCCACCUGCAGGGCAUGCAGGAGCCCUCCUGCCUGCCAGCCCCUGGCCAAGUACCAAGUGUCCCCACAGGGCUCUGCACCUGCCCUCCACUCCAAGGCUAUUGGAGGGGUGUGUGACUGGGAGAGCUGUUUUGAGAACAGAUAGGAUAAAAAUAACACCAACUCUUCUUGCUCUCCUAUUCACCACAUGCAGUCACAUAUAUGAAGGGCUUCUUCCACAGAGAUGCAUAAGCAGGAAAUUGUGGCUUACCAGAAGGUAGAAGACACAAGGUUAUAAAGCACUGGUAGAGUUUGUCAGACAUUUAUAUAGGCAGAGUUCCCAUAGCACAUGAGAGAAAGAUCCACUCAUCCAUGCACCGGCUUCAGGACGGGCUGCAGGAUUGCUCUGUGUGCAUCCCCUGCAUUCGGAGGGCCCCUUCUGACCUCCACAUCCACCACUUGGCUCUCUCCAUGGGUCAGAGCUGUGAUAGGAAGAAGGUGGGCAGGCUCAAUCCAGUAUCACAAAGCAAAAAGGGGUUUAUUUUAGCAUAUAAAUAUUCUUACUUUGAGUAUGAUGUGAAUACUAAAGAUAAAAAUUGUAACGUAGGAACAAAAACCCCUUCUGGAUCUUCCUGUUUCCGGUACUAAGAGUCGGUGGUUGUUCUCCAUCCUGGUAGUAGUGGAGCUGCUUCUGUUUAUUCCAUCGGUAGAUAAUGGGUUAAAAGCAGAUCAAUUCCAGCCACACCGGGGGAAACAUUCAAUUCCUUCCAUCUUGUUUCGGUAUCAGGUGAAGACACUGCACUGGCUAAAUGAGGAAACAGUCUGCGGCUUCGUACGCAGGGCCAGUCUCAGAAAUCAAAGGCAUCAAAGCAGAAAGUCCUGAACCAAACCACUCCAAAAGCAGCGGCCUGCAAGGCAGCCCUGAGCAGCACGGGUUUCUUUGCUCCCAGCCCAUCCAUAGCUGACAGAAGGGUGCCUUUCUUGUGCCCUUUACCUCCCUUACCUAGUCACACAGCCGCUGGGACCAGGAUUGGCUUUUAGGGCUUGCUUACACAGAGCAGUUGACUAUUCUGCAAUAGCUGCUGCAGGAUGACUUCAUGUGAACGCGCUCAUUCCGCAGCGGCUGUUGGAGCUCCUGAUUCAUACCAUACCUUAACUGGAGUCGCGUCAGCAAGUCAGCGUGCAUUACAAAGUUAAGCAAGACCUGGGACCCAGUCUGGGGUUUCUAGUCACUUCUCCUUUACAUAGAAUUCAGCUCUAACAGAAGCAGUUGAAAUGUUCCUGAGAAUGACAAAUAACAAAUGAGUAAUUCUUGCUCCAGAGCCACGUAGCCCAAUUAAAAAUAGGUAAGUGAUGUGCAAAGGCAAGUCUGUGCAGUCCGGGGAGAGAGAAGGGAAAAAAAGAAAAAUAGGCAUGCAUUUCUAAUCUAUUGGCACAGCCACGUGAAGCAGAAUUCAUUGAUAAACAUACCAAUUAAUUGGUACACAAAGCCCUUUCAAAAAGGUAAUGACUAAAGCAACCAGACGCUGGGAAAAGGACAGUUACUGUUGUGGAGCCAGCUUAAUUUGGUUAUCCAUCUCCCUUGGUAGAGUUAUUAAAGGGGGAAAAGCUUUGAACACUGUUGUAGGGUUCAGUGAAAAUAAAAACGCAACACAUACAAGCUCUCAGAAAUGCAAACAAGGUGUUAGAAUGCAUGAUGGAGGAUAAUUGAAUAUUACAGUUCUGUUUAACAAAUUGCUUCUCUUUGUGCAAUUACUGCAUCUCCGUCUGCCCUAAGCAGGAAAGAAGCUCAGAAUGAGGCGAUGGGGAUGAGCAGAGAGCUGCGAUGACUGAGAGCAGUUCAGCAGGAAGAGGAGGAAAGCAGGGAGUUAGCAAGGAGAGGGCAGUUCCCAGCGUAAUGAAAGGCAUUAAGUCUAAAACCACCAACGCUUUCCCAAACAUGAAAAUUGAAUACUGAGAGAGAAAAGAAAAAAAAAAAAAAAAAAAAGAAAGAAAUGCAGAUGCAAUAAUGUAAGAAGCUAGCACACAUCACUGUCCUGGAAUCUGAGAAAACAAGCUUUUUAAAUACUUCUGACUGAAAGCAUUUAUGGCAGCGCAGCCCUGGGAUGUUAGAGGAAAGGACAUGAGCAGGAGCAUUGCAGGAUGGAGCCCUUCUGUCGGCAGGCACACAGCUGUGCAGGACAGGGGCGCAGUGACAGGCAGGCGCUGCCUGGUGGGGCAGUCGGUGCUCCCUGCUGCCCAGCACGCUGGUGAUGCUGCACGGCCACCUUCCCACAUCCCGUGACUGUCCUGCAACCAGUGGAGUAAUUUCUAAUGCUAAGUAAAGGACCGGUGGCUCGGGGUGCACCCCCCCCUGCUCCCCAACACCUUGCUCUUAACCAGCCACGCUCCUGCUGGAGUGCUGCGGUCAGGGGUCGUGUCUCCAGGGUUGGUUUGAGAACGUCUCUGGCUGCAUUUUGAUGUGAUAGCCAGAAAUGAGAGACAGAUACAAGAGGGAGGGAAAGUGCUUGGUUUCUUUCAUUUCUCUCACUUUGCCUUCCAGUUCUCAUGCCCUGAGAUUCAUGCAACAGUGCACUCUCCAUACCACAAUUAACAGUGAAUCUUUUCCAAUCCACUCUGACAGAAACUCCUCCCCCAGCCUGUAACACCACUCCAGCUUGCAAGCAAGCCUUCCCAAAGGCAGACCUGCCCUACCGUGCUCGCCCUGCGCCCAGCACUCGUGCUUACCUUCCAGGCCUCCCUGUGCCGGAGGUCACAGUUGACCAUUGCAAGAACAAUAAGGAUUUUUAGGGGCAUUAUGACUGGGUUAGUAAAACACAGCUGCCCCUGAAAGUCCCUCAUUUUUCUUGCUGCCGCUCAGUCCCCUCCACGUCCCUAGGAGGGCAGAGGUCUGAUGGGCUCCUUUCGCUCCAGCAUGGCUCUGCCACCUCAUGCUGGCUUUGCUGAUCUGCCAGCAGCAGCCCAGCCGUGCUGACCGGCCGUGACACAGGCAGUGGAGGUCCAGAACUGCUUUGUCAUCACUGCAGGCUCCCUCCUAAGCAAACGCUGCGCUGCACUUCAGCAUAACGCCAGAUGGCUCGUCUGUCACUCGGCAGAAAUGCCAUCAGACAGAGCGCACCUCACCGUAAGCAACCCUCAAACGCCCCCCAAAUCACCAGGGCAAAAUGAAGCAAUGGCCUGUCCUGCCAGCACUCAGUGCACCGCACUUUGCCCAUUAAACACAGGGAUCCCAGCGCCGGUGAGCACCUGCUGUGUGUGCACUGUGACGCAGCCCCGCGGCGGUGGGAGGGGGUCACAGCGCCCGCCCAGCUGCACGAGCAGUUGUUCUUGAUUUAUUAAUAAAGCUGGGGGUUCAAUUAGGUAAUUGCCACUGAUUUCUCAACCGCUUUCAGUUUAUGAGAUUUUUAAGAGCUAUAUUUUUCCUACUAAAAAGGUGCCAAGUGGUUGGCUGGGAAUUUUCAACCUCAUUUACAAAUCCUCUUGGAAUUCCCAGCCCAACCCAGCAUGUUCAUAGGGCAAGGAGCAGCACUUUUCUUUUAACUCCUUGGUAAUUUGAAUGUUGAUGGCAGUGGACUCAACAAAAUCCAUAGGCAGAUUCCCAUGGGUGCUCCUGCCCUGCUGUUUCCCUGAGCUCGCUGUGGGGUGCUGGAUGGGCACACCAGCCCCAUGCAUGCUGUGGGAAGCCCCGUGGGCUGGGCAAGCACUCUGCCCUUGAGGACAGAGCUCUGGGAGCUGCUCUGGGGCUCCCGGGGCCUUUGGAGCAGAGCAGGGAACCACUGAGGACUCGCAGCACUAUUUUUUUUCUCCCCCUCUUGCAUUAAAAAUGCCCUGCCCCUCAACGAAGAACCCAUUCCCAGCAGUUACAGGUUAGGACAAACACGACACUGUCUCCAUAACCCACAAAGUGUGCUACGAGCAGCCAUCUCACACGGCUCGGGUGCCCCUGUCCGGGGCAGGCCCAGGCGCUCUGCAGGGCUCACUUGCGCUGUGUUACAUCCAGCCUCAGAACAAUGGGGCUGAGCUGCAGAGCUGCGCCGUGUUUGGAGUUGCUGCCGUUCAAACAUGCCAUCUCCAGGGACACGGACGGGGCCGGCGCAGCUGUUCUGCAUGCAAUGGGAAUGCUGAGGUUCGGGCAGCCCAAGGUCCCGGCCACGUGCAGCACAAGAUGAAUGUCCUCACCUGUCUCACCAGCGAAUGAUGCUCCAUGGCAGCAGCCAGCCUGGCACACAGCAAAUGCCUCAGCCCCUCUCAUUGCUGUACGAAGCCACACCUAAUUUUCAUUUAGAAUUUCUUCUAACGCUGGGAAGUUAAAUGAAAGCAACCAUUAUGCCCUGAUUUGGUAAUAAAACACGAGCUGUGAUUCUGAUCCAAACAUUAUUUGCAUCUUUAAAAAAAUAGAAAUGUAACAGCAGUAUCUUAAUAAAAAAAAAAAAGGAGGAGCCCCCUGAAUGCUGAUGACGUUGGUGUCCUAAAUGAAGCAUAAAAGCCAGAUCCUGUGAGAUGCAAAGCAUGAGUCAGAGUGUCAGCAGCCCCACACUGCAAGCAGCGCUGCUGCUUCAUUCGUUUAAGGAAUCAAUUCCUUUGCCAUGAGCACCAAGUAGUUUCUACGACUAAAAUUAAAAUGAGAUGCGUGCCGUUAUUAUUUUCAAAAGGUUCUUUUCUUUUUUCCUCUUGGAAUGACAACAAACAGCUCUCUGUAGUUGGAAGGAACCCCAGGUAAGGACCAGGUCCCCGCAGCACUGCUGUUGCGCUGACUCAGAAGACAACCCGGUGAGACCCUGCAGGGAACCUCCCCAGCAGCACAAGCAGAUGGAGCUCACCAGGGCAGAGCACAGCAGGCAGGUGGACUCACCGCAGAUUUCAGCCCGGUUAGGCUCUCUCACCCUGAUUUUGUUUUACUUGCACUGGGUAGCUGGCAGACUCCUGCAGGAUGGAUGUGUCCCGCCCUGGGGAACCCCCCUUUGUGGAGGGUUUACGUGUUCCUUCUUGAGCUGGAAAAGCAGCACACGGCUCCGUGUGCCACACAGGGACGUGCUGCUCCUGCUGCCACAGGAGCACGGCCAGACUUCAGCAUCAGAGCACGAGUCCCUGGGUUACAGUGAGGUCAGGGGGAGGAUUUGGGACUGACGGCUUUUUGGCCUGUUAGAUUUGAAAUUCAUAAAGCACGAGAACAGCACAGAAAGAAACCAAAGGUAGGAAGUGAAUGCAGUUUCUACAAUUCCUCCAGCUUUAGUCAUUGAAGAGGAUUGUUAGAAACGCACAAAGGGCCGUUUCCCUCAAUUUUUUCAGUGUGAAUUUCAUCUUGACAGUUUCAUUUCAGAAACAAAAAUUGAAAACAAAUUGUGCUAUACACAAAACAAAGGGGCAGAUCCUCAUCUGGAAUAGACUGGUAUUACCAAAUGAGUAACACCCGCUCACAGCAGAGGCUCUGGCCCUUGUGACAGCGGCUGCCUGCUGCCAUCCUGCUCUGCCCGGCCAACAGCCUCAGCCUCUGGUUUCAGCUGGCCGCAGAGCUGACUCCAGGUAGCCUGCUGGAGACAAAGAGCUGCCUUCAGAGCUGCUGAGUGUGCACAGUGCUUCAGGGACCCCGUGUGCACCCUGCUCUCCAGAAGUGGGGCUGUUUCCAGGUGGGCGAGCCAGAGGACGCAGCACCGAGAAAGCAGCCGAUGCCAGCAGGGCCCUGAAAGUAAUGAGCUGCUGUGGAGAAAUACUGGCAAAGCAGGCUUCCAGAAUCCAGUUAUUUAUGGGAUUUACUCUCUGAAAAGAAGCAUUUCUCAGAUUUUUCUUUCAAAACCAACACUGGGCUGAUCAUCAUCUUGAAAAUUAGCAGAGGUCCCCAAGAAAAUAUUAACUGCAGCGCAAGACAACGAAUGCAUGCCUGAAUGUGGUCUGAUCUAUGCCAAACAAGACCUGCCCCAAGAGAGACUGGCACAGCACAACUGUGCCUGGCAUUUGGGAAAUCCCUUCAGCCACAAAUGAGUUACUAAUAGGGCAUAAUUAGCUUUGGGUCCUGCCACCACAGUCUCACUCUGAUCGGGCUGUCCUUUGUGCAAGCCCAAGCGUGCUCUAGAAGUCACCACGCCAGCUGGGUUCAUUGCUUCUCUCACCCGAAAGGAAACAAAAUUACACACAUUGGUUAAAUUCAGGAAGCUUCUCACUUUGCCAGUUAUCAGAAGACAUACUGACUGCUGCUGUCUUCAGUGGCAGCCCGGCUUCCAAGCAGAACAUCAGGCUCUCUGUCCUCAUUGUGCUGAGACACUGAAACGAACACACAGCCGUGCACUGGUGGAGGAGCACCCAUCUCCCAGGGCUGACAAGGGGUGGUUUUGGCCAUAGGCAUUUUACAAUUCAUUUCCUUUGAAUUCUUUUGUUUGGAGCAUCAUUUCUCAGCUCUUACACCUCUGCCACCAUCAGCAAGAGCUGGGAAGCCAGAGUUAUUUUUAGGGGAUGGUACAUUUAGGCCCUGUUAAUCUUGACUGGUCCCUUUGAAAAUGACAACGUUGGAUAAUCAAACACAUUACACAGAGUUUCCAUGGAGCCUGCUUGGAAAACUACCCUCCCACCUUUCAGCAACGGAGGGGCCAAUAGUUCAGAUAGCAGCAUUUAAUACUGCGUCAACUUUCCUCAUUACCGUGACCUCCCUAGCAUUUAUAUGCAGAGACCUCCCAGAAGAAGGAAAUUAUGGCACCUAACUGACUUUAAGUAUAUAAAAUAGAACAAUUAGUCAUCAAAAUGUCUUCUAGAAGCUCCAUACUAUACCCAUCCCAAGCAGCAAAAGACCAUUAUCCAGCUCAGCCUGGCACAGAAGAGGAUGACAGCAAUGCCUGGUCAAAUGGUGUGGUCAAACAAACAUGUUGGCAAAACAAUCCCAGAGCAACGGGGAAGGAGCUGCUGGUGUGAAGGCGAAUGCAUUAAAGUGGUUGGCACAAGGAAAGGGACGGGAAGGGAGAAUGCUAGGAAAAAACUCCAGGGGAGGAGCUCUGGCUAAAAGAGGCUACAUGACUGCUAGUAAAUUAAACAGUGCAGGGACCAGCCAGUCUGCAAUCACCUAGCCACCAACACAGGGCAGUCGCAUCCAAACAGCCUGUUAGUAAUGGUCCCUGGCCCACACAGACUUUCACAUCAUAUCCAGGGCUGGCUGGAAAAGUCCCAGGCCAAAGCUCUGCCCAGGACCACACCAAGCACACGGCCAUGAGCUUUGCAGUGGCCCACGGGUACAGCCACGCAGCACAGCAGCGCAGGCGUCUCAUUGCAGCACUGCACACAUACCUGCUGGGUCCCAGCUGAGGGCAUCACUGCAGAUCUGCACCUGGACUGAUCAUCUACAGGAGAGGCAGAGGUGUGCUGUGGUCAUCAACCCACCAGCACUGCCUCCAAUUCGGAAUCUACCUGCACUCUGACCAGUAAGUUAGGAGAGAAGCAGCCAGGCAAGCUUGGCUUUGUUGGAGCAGAAUCAAGUCUGGCUGGUAUUAAGGAAAGCAAAGCGUUACAGGAGAACAGCAGGAAAUUGCUAAGAGAAAGGGAUUUUUAAAUAACUUCAUUUUAAACAAAACUAGGGAAUUACCAUAAAAUAAAUGGCCACACCUUGCUACUCACACUGUUCUGCCAACAAGACUAGCUUUUCCAUAGCUAUUCAAAUAUGAGACCUGGGUGCCUAACCAGCUCUCUCAAGCUGGUUUCCAAACUCCAGCCAAAAAUCACUUUCUGAUUCACCACUUUCUCAGGCACACCAGUAUGCAGAGUACGCCUGCAGGCUGGUACUGUGCUGUACAAAGCACUUAAGCACACAUUUAAUUACACCGUGGACCAGGGAUGUGAUUAAUCAUAUGCUUGAAGUUAAGCAUGUGCUUAAGCAUGCUACUGACCUGGAGCUUGAAGCAGAUCUAUCUGCUACUGUACUGCUCCCCAUUUUCCAGUUCUUUGAGGCUCAAUAAUUGGAAAGGUUGUAAGAACAUCCCUGUGGUUGUGCACUCCUAAGAAUUCAUCCAAACUCUGGUUUCAGACUUUUUUUUAAUGGCAAUUUUUGCAAUUAAAUUGCAUUCUCCCCACGCCCUCCCCAGCACCAAUUAUGGGCAUGACAGCAGUAUGGAUAUUAUUUAUCAGCAUUAAAACAUGAUGCAGUUAUUAUCAUUCACAAACAUUUUCAUUCAGUUGGGCUGGAUGAUCUUGGUGAUCUUUUCCAACCAUACUGAAUCUAUAAUAUUUUAUGCCUGAGGAGUGUACAAAGUUCUCAAAAGAAAUAUGAAGCACAUCACUGCUAGCAGCACUCAUCUCAUGGAAGAACUCAACCAUAAAACACACAUCAGCUAUGGGUGGCCACGUAAACUCACAUUUCAUUAGCUGCAAUGUACGCCAUCCCAGCCAUUUUUCUCACUGCACCACCUGUCCACCUUCCGAGCAAAGCCUUAUUCCUACUUCAUCACAAUUUCAGGGAGCUCAGACUGUCUCCGGUCGCCAGGGAGGAGCAAGCAGAGGAGCAGGGGAGCAGACAGCUCCUCUUCCUAAGGCACAGCUGAGAGCCUCCUCAGUGACAGAGGAAACCACUGCACAGGGACAUGGAGGGAUGGACCAGAGCUGCAUCCUGAGGCAGGCGUGUGAGUGCCAGCUGGAGCGGCCCUGCAUCAGGGAGCACUGUGCCCACGUUCACCCCAUAAAACCAUCUAACACUGACCAGCCAGGAGAUUGCAAUGAAAGCACAGCACGUGCAAAUCCAUUUCCAAUCAGCAAUGGAGAGCAGAGGAGGUUUGAUUACAAAAGAAGAGGCACUGGUCUCUAAAGGAGGUCUCCUUUGAGAAGGAGAAUAGUCCAACCCUGUGUUUGCAGAAGCCUCCUUAGAGCAGUUACGGGACCUUCCUCCUCAUUUGCUAUGUUCCUUUAUUUCAGCUGGACAGAACUUGGCAACAGGAAGCUGAGCUCGUGUUCUUAACAUCACUGAUGUUUUAGAGAACAGGUUAAAGAAACCCAAAUUCACUUGUCACAGACCUGUAAGUCACAGCAACAUCCAGAAAAGCACAACUGCACCACUCGGUGCCUGCUGAGUGCUGCCAGCACACCUUGUCGGAGGAGCAGCUUCAUAAACACAAUUUUUAGGGUCCUUUCCAUGGACAGCCUGAGGUUGGUAUUUUCCCUUAGGCCCCACAGACUGAGGGACGUUGCAUAUUGCAAGCAGGGGCACCAGGACCAGCUGGCAGCAAAGUGCUGAGUGUGGAAACCCUCUGCCUCCCACUGACCACCCCCUGCUGCUCCUCAUUAGCUGCCAGCUCAGACACCAUGGCGGUGUACUCAUUUUUAUUUUCAGCUCUUUUCCUGCCUGGCCGUCAGCUCAGCAGUGCUGCUUACACUCAAAGCUGUGCCUAGAAUAGUGAAGUUGAGGGGAAUUUCACCUAAAAAAACCCCAAGUAUUUGGCCAUCCCUUCAUUGAUCAGAAGUCAUUGUGGUGGGAGAUCAUUUCUGGAAGCCGAAUUGGGAUAUAUUCCAUUUCUUUCAUCCAAACUAAGGUACUCCCUUCCACAUGUAGGUUUACUCAAGGAGAAGACGAUGGAGCAGAGGAAGAGCGUAUCACUGCCCUGCAGCAGUCUGUGCAGCACCAACUACGGCUGCAGCCAACCUCCAUGCCCUGCACAGCCCACCGUGCUCACAGCAGCCUUGCUGUAUGUAUUUUUAAGCACUCAAACCUGUGCUUGCUGCUUGCAUGCAACCGCUCAUAACUCAGCAGUGGUGUCUAACAAGGUUGGCUAGCUAGUUACAGCAUAUUUCUAUUUGGAAAAUGCACUUUGAAGUUCAAAAAGGGGUAAAGUUCAACAAGUUGCAGACUUUGCAAAGGCUCCUUUCUGAACGCACUGCUGUGAAGCGAUGAAAGCUCUCACGGCUGCUCAUCCACAAUCACUGCCAGCCCCCGAACUGACAGCACGGGGCAAACCCUGCCGGGGCACCCACAGCUCCCCGGAGAUGUUUCAGGGCAUAACUGCUGUGUCAAUGGAGCUCUGUGCUCUCAUCCUGCGACACAACCAACCUCCAAUCCCAAUUUAUAUUAUAGGCUUAAAUUCCUAUCAGAUGCUUUGAAACAAAACCGCAGUUUGUGGGUUUGUUUUUUAAGGCAGUAAUGUCUUAAACUAUAAAGACAUCCAAAACUUUAUGUAACGACCAUUACAUAACACCUCAAACUGGCUCUUAAGCAUUUUCCUUACUCUUUGGAGUUCUUACACUUUUAUUUGGGGCAUGUGAGACAACGAGUUAUACAAGUGCAGUUACUCACAUGGGCCGUGUUUGGAGGGAGCGACGGAGAAGAGCUCUCUGCGGUGGAAAUCUUAAAGGGAGAAGCUUCUUUCUAUGUAAAGAAGUUUGCAAGACACAGAAAAAGCAUUCUCUCGUUGAGUUUCACUGCUCUUAAUGAUCAGUUACAGAAACUGAGAACCCAGGAAGCAGGGCAGAGAUAGUGCUAGCUUUAAAGUCUGAAUGCAUGCAGAGCCUCCAAUGGCACACAGCAUGAAUGUCAUAAAUGUGUGUGAAUGUUCUCAUUCAGGCUGUGAUUUACUCCCCAAGGAGAUGCACAGCUAGCUGAAAUAUGCUACAUGCAAACCAAACCCUUCCAAUGAAGUGAGUGCAGUAUGUGAAUCCUGGAGCUAAAUUUAACACAGCUCUCAUCUCAGCAGAGCUCCCAGCAUUGCAGCUAACGCUGCAGCUCACACGGGCAGAGCUGUGCCGGAGUUCUGCUCCUUCGGUCCACUGCUCUGGAUGAUGUUCCUGAAGCUCCUCACUAACUCAGAUUUAAGAAAUUCAGGGUGAUUUAUUCAGCUGAAUUUUGUCUGUGAAACAAUGGCGCUGAAAACAAGUCAAUCUAAGUUGCUUUUAAAAUGCAGACUCAAACUGGUUUGGGCCCCAUGCAACUCCUGUGAAACAGACACUCCUUAUAUAUUAAAAUACCUUUAAGUGUAUUGCUGAAUAAUCCACGACACUGAAAAAAAUCCUGUAUACCAUAAAUAUCUGAUUACAUUUUUCCAGUCAUUGCAUUAUUUGUUUGGUUUUAUGGUCAAAGGCAAAUUAAAGUGAACUGGGCAAGCUUGGUCGUGAUUAAGCUCCUUCCUCGCUGCUUCUUGCUCUGCAGAACGGCUGUAUUUGCAUAGGAAUAUUCUCCUCCUCCAGAAACAUUUCUUUCCAAAUUAACAAACGAAGUCACAAUUAUACAAAAUAUUGUUGUAGCCAAAGCAGAUUUUGCAAUUUAAAACAUUUUAAAUGCAACCCAGACUUUGAAUCUACUUUCCUAAGUACCCUUCAAGUGUAAAAUACACCCACAGCAGUCCGACUGAGGAAUCUGUACCUUCCAUGAAAUAACAAAACAGCACAAACAGUUUAAAAUCUAGCACGUUUUAACUGAACUCCAUUCAAAUUCUUCCUUAUGAAACAAUCUCUCUUUUCAUGCAAUACUUUUCCUGCAGAUUCUGGCUCCAAACUCACACAUCACUUUGCUACAACCCGUUCUGCAGUGCUGACUGCCCGCCGGGUCCCACCGCCCCCAAUUUGUUCAUCUUUUAAUCAGAAGGAAUUCCUGCCCACCUCUCAGCAUUUCUCUCUAUAAGCUCUUAAUUCAUUUUCCAGCAUUGGUAGCUUGCUGCUCGCUCCACCCUCUCAAAUAUCAGCAAUCACUGCCGCUCUUAAAGAGAACUCUGUUUUGGGGAAACGUGAUAUUAUUCCAGAUGUUUCAGCUAUGGCUGCUCUGCCCAACCCGGCCUGGUCAGUGCUCUGCCACGAAGCUCAGCAUCAAACAGCUUCUGGGUUUUAUUUCUUAAACUCCUGCACUGCUGUAUGGGAACGUAGCCCUCCUGGCAGCAAAGCACGCCGAGCCCUGCACUGCACAGAGCAACAGAGGCGCUCCUGAAGAGCUCUGCAUUUCGUCCCAGAAGCACAAAAGCACAGCUCAGUUGGGCACAUCACCAGCCCAGUGGCUAUCAGCUCCUGCAAGCUGCUGGUUCAAUUUAAUUUCAGCGCUUCAGACCACAUUUCUGACAGUAUUUUACGAGUUACCAGGCAAAGAGAGAUUGCUGAAUGAAAUCUGCUUUCUAAUUUUACAGUUUGAGGAAAUUCUAUGCCUACCAUUGCAAAAAAAAAAAAAAAAAGAAGCAAAGUGCACAUUGAGAAAUUGGAAGCAGCAGUAAGCAGCGGUGACACCACUUCACUGCAUGGAGGUUCCAGCAGGAGAAGGGUGGAGCGAGGAGCAGCCCCGGCCCUGCUGUGAUGGGCAGCAUUUGUGCAACAAAGCGAGGGCAGACAGCAGUGUGCCAUGGGCUGCCAGACCGCAGGGGAACACAGCUGCCUGAGCAAGGCUGCAGAUCCUUGGUGAGAUGGGAUGUCAUACAGUUAAGGUAAUGUUAAUGAAUGGCAGCACUAGCAGGCAUGGCCAAGAUUCCAAUCCCAGACCUGUAAGCGGUGUCACUAAUCUGCACUGGAAAAAUACUCCAAUCCUGCACGAUGCCAUGCAAUGUGAGCACACCACGCACCCACAGGGACUUGCAGGACGCUGGGAAAAACUUUCUGUCCGAAGAGAGGAAGAACAGAGGUCCACUGCUGCCACGGAUAGGAAAAAACCAACAACCCAAUCCUCCAGAGCUGAAAGGCCACCAGGAUCCACGUAAAAUCCAGGAAAUCUAUACAAAGCCAUAGCUACUGAGCAAUGCCUCGGAAGUACUUUCAUUAUUUAGUGCUAAAGCAAUAUGCUGUUAACCUGCAGUCCAUCGGCUGAAGCCCUGGAAGGCUGUGCCCUGCAGCCCUGGAGGCACUCCUGCUUCUCCUCUCCCCUUUGAGACAUCACUUUUGGGUCCCCAGGAAGGGAAGCGAUGAAGCCAGCAGGCGCUGGAAGGCUUUUCUCAAGCAGGCCAGCAGUGGGAAGGGAAAAGUGCGCUCCCAUCAGCUGGCCUGCCCCUGUGUAAGGAAGGACCAGCCUGCAGUAGGGCUGGCACUGAGCACGUGGCUUUGCCUUCUGAGGACAGUGCCAAGAACGGGGGGAAAGGGGAGGUCUGUGAGGUGGCUGCUUCAGGCCUACAGAAGUCUGCACACCCAGAGAGCAAGACUGUAACACACGGCCAGGCUGCUGCGAAAGGUCAGACCAAACAACGGGGCUGAUAGCAGGCACAGCCUCCAUCUAACCUUCCCUCCUUGAUCACAUAAACCUGUAAUGCAGAUACUGCGCUCGCCAUGCUCAGUGCCCUUCUGCAACUCCAAAUACAGCCCUGGCUUGAAGGUCUCUAUUUGCAAACAUAGAGGACCAGUGGUUCCUAAACUGCAGGCAAACAUUUGACUUCUCUUGGUCCAAUUCAAAGAAUAUCCUGCACAAACCCCACCCCUCUGCCCAACAACUCAGGCCCUUAAUGCCUAGACAGCUUUCUUUCAGGCCUUAUCACAGAUAAAAUAUGGCCCCUUUUUUGUUGAAGGAGUAGGACUUGCCAAAUAUUUACCAACUCUUUCAGCAGGCUGAAAAUGUCACUCUUGCAGUGUAAUAAACUUCCCCAGAAAGGCCCUGAUAAAUAGAGAGCCUUGCUGUACUGCCCAGAACUAGUUUAUUGUGGCUUAAGAAUUGCCAAGUCUGACGGAUGAAGAAAGCACAUUUGUACACACAGAAACAUUAGCAAGAGAGGCAUAAAGUUUAGAAGUGAAAAUAAAACAAAGUCCCAUUAUUAUUAACUGAGGUGUGGGGGGGAAAAUAAUAGAGCCUGCAUCCCAGAGAGCAGAGCAUGUUACUGAAAGCUCCAGAGCUAAAAGCAGUAAUUUAAGAGCUUGUCCACAACUUGCAGCAGAAGCUCAAACCAUCUUAUUUAGCAUUUGGAAAGUGCUAAAGUGUGGCCUACCCCCAGUCCAGCCUUCAGAGCAACACUAUGCAAAAAUAAAAUAAAAUAGUUUUGCUUUGUAAUCUGACCCACAAAAAGUCAUUUGGGCACGAGGGAAUGCUCUCCUCCAGCCUGGGCUUUAAUUCAGAGGGAAUGUUUAAACAGAGCAGUGUAAAACAGAUGCUGAGAAAUACAUCUGCGUGGCACUGCGUGUUCUUUGGGGCACCAACAGAAGUUGGGAGCUGCUUAUCAAUGUAGCACAUAUGGCUACAAUAGCUGCAAACAGUGCAGGUGAAUGGAGAAAAAUGACAUUCUCAGCAUCACGAAGUCCAUCAGCAGAGUUCUGGCAGCCAUGAAUAACUGCACCCAUGUCAGCUCAAAUGGACGAAUGCUGCUGGGACAGAAAUGUGUCCUUUCACCUUAGCAAAUGCCAUUAGGAGGAAAAAAAAAAAUCCAGAGGCAACUAAAGAGGCAGAACUCAAACAAACAGAUUUAACACAUCCCGAUGUUGGCACUGAGCUCCACAAGCACCACGCUUUGACUGCAUCUUGAAUGAAGGACCCAAACCAAAACACAGCACCUCAGUACCGCCACGCAGCGCUCCAGCACGGAGCUCUGGGGGCUGAACUUGCUUAAAAGCAGGAAGAAAACAAUUACUGCUGGAAAAAAAAAAUAUAUCCACAUUAUGCUAAAGCUGGCAAAAGCUAAACCCAGCAGUUUACCUGGCUUUCCAGAGCAAACCACAAUUAAGAAAGUCUCCUAUGAAAGAGAAAACUCCAGUUCAGCCCACCAGUAUUACAGCCGGGCAGCACCAGCAGCCGCAGCAGCAAUCACUGCUGGGCAGCGAUACCUGAGAAGCUGCACAAGAAGUUGCAAGGAGAGUGCUAAGGAGGCACAGCAACCUCCCCCCCUGCUCCCCCCUUUCACACCAGCAGGUUUUAAUGUUAAUGAUACGGCUCCGUAUGCUUUAAGUAUUUUUACACCAUGCCUGCCGUCCCGUAGCUCUCUCGUUCCAGGGCGGAUGAUUAGAAUCAGAUUUCUGUGAUUUCACUGCAGAUUAAUUUCGUUAAGAGCUGAAGACCCGCGGGGAGGAAGGGCUGCGAGCAGACCGACAGACCCCCCCCGGCAGCGUCCUCUCCAAAAAGGGCAGCAGCAUUUCUGCCUUUCCUCCGUACUUUCGCAUACUUUUCCUUUUUGUGGCCGCGAGGCUGAAAAAAUGGGCGUACGGGGAAAAGAAACGUGCAGAAAUAAAUUCCUUCAAGUUCUGGUUUCAAAGAAAGCUCCCAACCAGCACCAAGAGGAGAAUGGGCCCAAGGCAGCCCUGCUCCCACCAUGCCCACAGCCAACGGCAGCUGGAACUGCACACAGAUCAGCACCGGACACCCAUCCGUGUGCACAGACACACGUCAGAGGGACGGCUAUUAAUACACCUUGUAUGUGCUGUGCUGGACACAGAGGGCCGAGCAGUGGUCUCUAAUACCAUUUACAAACUGUUACUAAUAGCAAAACACAACGUGAAUGUUUUCUAUGGGUAAAGCGUACAGAAUGCAGCACUGAAACUGGGUUUUGUUUGCAAAGCUCUUAUAGGAUCCGAGUGUAAAAGUUGCGUAGGCUCUGUGUGCGCACUCAGGGCAGCACUACAGCAAAGAAAGAAUUCCGCUUAAAACCUUCCUCUGUGCUUUCUGAGCCAUCCCAUCUUCCAUUUGCUUUUAUAGAACAUGGCCACGAGAACCCUGCUGCCAAUUGGCCUUCCUCCUAAUUCUACAGCACUGCUCUCGACUUGACAAGAGAGAAGGGAAGACAUCCAUGGCAAACAAACAAUCACGAGGAGCCGCAAAAUAAUUCUAAGAACCUAAAAUGUAACACAACAUAAUACAGAAGGACACGGAAGCAAUAAAUCCAUGCUAGAGGAGCAAACAGCCAUCCCCACACAUGGCGUUGUAUGCGUAUGGCGCCCAAAAAGGAGCACAAACCAACAGAAUCCACAGAAGUGCAGCAUCAAAACCAAAGGCAAAUCAUGAGGAGCACCCGAAGUGCGAGGGGAAAAAGUAGUGCCAUAAACACGAGGAGUAGCGGAGCCAGGCUGCUCCGUGCUUGUGUGACCACAUCUAUUAAAAGGGGGGAAAAGGGGGGAAAAAAAAAGGAAAACAAAGAAGAGAGGAAAUAAAGAAGAAAACAGACGCGUUUUCUGAAAGUGAAAGCGGUGAGGAUGGCCGCCCUCCCGGCACGGCGUCCCACACGGCCACCGACGGCACCGACCCGACGCGAACGGCCGCGGCC
ensembl:lncRNA